rnacentral:rRNA from 1 species
UACGUAGGGUCCGAGCGUUAAUCGGAAUUACUGGGCGUAAAGCGUGCGCAGGCGGUUUUUGUAAGCCAGAUGUGAAAGCCCCGGGCUCAACCUGGGAACUGCAUUUGGGACUGCAAGGCUGGAGUACGGCAGAGGGAGGUGGAAUUCCACGUGUAGCAGUGAAAUGCGUAGAGAUGAGUGGAGGAAGCACCGAUGGCGAAGGCAGCCUCCUGGGCUAGUACUGACGCUCAUGCACGAAAAGCGUGGGGAGCAAACAGG